UCAAGCGGUGGGAACCAGUGGGGUGCGGGCAGUCACUGCGGGCAGUGCAGGCAGCGCAGGCAGUGGGGCAGUGCAGGCAGCGGGGCAGUGGAGCGGUGCAGGCAGCGGAGCUGCACCCUGGGGACCAGCACCACAUCCCAGCACCUGCCCGCCACACCAGCACAACAGCCGUCACCUUCCCGCAUCCCGCCGACGAUGCAACCGGAGAGAAGAGCCAGCCGGUGAGCACUUGCAAUACAGCUCGAGUGGCAGCUGAUUGGAGGACCUGCGUUGCCAGAAAGGCAAAUAUCCCAUCAGUCAGAGGAACAAAGCCGGGAUUUAGGGAAGCGAACGGAAGCGUGAGAUCCCAGCACUCCAUGCGUAAGGCAGCAGUGCCAGAAUGGUGGGGCCGGGAUUUACCCAGCACCUGGAGCGCACAGAAUUUCAGGAAUGGGAACCAGGCAGAGGACACUGAUGACACCAGGAUGCCAGCACACGGUCAUGUCCCUGCAGACCAGAAAGCACCAGCAUGGCGAAUGGGACACGGUGCAGGUCCAGGCAGCCCCACCCACACGGCCACUGCCACACUGAGAAAUGGGAAAUUGGUCUGGGGGGGAAACCCUUCUGUAUUUUGUGGCGGUUAUAAUACUAAAUGAAACCAAGCUGAUUACGCUUCUUAACCCUUUGCUCUGGUGAAAUAAGGCUCCUCAGUCAGAAGCACAGAAGCCCUGGCUCUGCCAAGCUCCCACGUCGGGAGUCACUGACACCAGCGCCCCAGCUCUGCCCCUGGCACGGCUUUGGUGCAGCUGCCCUGUGGUACCUGGCACACAUGGUGUCAACGUUCCCUCAGCAGCUCCUGUUCGCCCAGUCUCCAGGUGGCAGAUGGGGCCGGGGGGUUAAGCUGCAUCGGGGGUGCACCCCAUGGCAGGGCAGAGAGCGUGUGGGGGCACCAAGGAAGUGACACCCCCCUCCUCAGUGACACCAUUGGGUGUCCAGGAGCAUCCACUUAGGGCACGGGUGCGGGCUGGCGCCUGCAGACCUUGCAGCAGCUCUAGCCAGCUCGGGUCCCGCGGGUGCUCCCUGGGGACGGCUGGGAGGAAAAGCAGUCCCAAGCAGCCCUGCACAGACCCUCAGUACGGGGGGGGCUUCUGCUUCAUGUCAGAAUGCAUUUCCCACAUAUCGCAGCAUUUCACCACUUGGCCUGAUGCCCUGCGCCUCUGCCUGUCCCAAGGUGACGUUUCACUUUUGUUGUUUCACGCACUGUCACGUUUGGAUAUCCUUACAGGCUUGGAAGUGAAACACAACCCAAAGAGCAUUGUAACAACUUCUCAAGAGAAAGUGGGUUUCUAAAAUUAAACCAGCAUAAUCAGAGAAUGGAA